rnacentral:tRNA from 2 species
UCCCCGAUAGUCUAGUGGUGAGGAUGUCUGCUUGUCAUCGACACGUUCAGUGAACGCUGCGCGCAGGAGACCUGGGUUCAAUUCCCAGUCGGGGAG